rnacentral:rRNA from 1 species
AUUCCAGCUCCAAUAGCGUAUAUUAAAGUUGUUGCAGUUAAAAAGCUCGUAGUUGGAUUUCUGGUUUGAUGCCCUGGCCCGCUGCUAUUUUGGUAGUGUGUGCCGGUUGUGCGUCUGCCAUCCUUCUAGGGAACGUUCCUUCUCUUCACUGAGCCGGGUUCGUGAUCUAGAUCGUUUACUUUGAAAAAAUUAGAGUGUUUAAAGCAGGCUUUUGCUAUGAAUACAUUAGCAUGGAAUAAUAGAAUAGGACCUGGUCCUGUUUUAUUGGUUUGUCUGUAUCAGGUAAUGAUUAACAGGGACGGUCGGGGGCAUCUGUAUUCCAGCGUUAGAGGUGAAAUUCUUGGAUCGCUGGAAGACAAACAGCUGCGAAAGCGUCUGCCAAGGACGUUUUCAUUA